rnacentral:sRNA from 1 species
UACCAGUCUUUUUGAUGAGUGCGUGAAGGGAUUAUCUUCGCGAGGAGUUAAGCAGGUGGUUUUAAUCGUAUAUGGUAUUCUUCCAGGUCAGUCUCUCGAACACUUGCAUACUUCCUCAGAUAACAAGUCUUACACACCUGCGUGCUUCUUCAGAUACCUAAGGUGUGUCCAAACCAGAACCAUAGGGUCUGUAAGCAGUGUUCCCAAACCCAAUCAGAACCUUAAAUUUCCUCCAAAGCUUUUCCCCGUAAUUCCUGCCAGGAAGUCUUCAGCUUUCCAGAUGGAGGAUAAGAGAGGUGGAGGACAGAUUAGCGGUAUUGAUAGUGUUUACAUGAGCUCUGACGAUGCUGAUUCAAUGAGAGAAACAAGGCUAGAUUAUAAGAACAACACAGGCGUGUCCGGGAUACAGCGUGUACUUAGUGCUUCUCCUCCCCAUGACACUCAUGCCUUUCAUCAACCUCGACUUCCUUCUGAAUUUCAAAGCAAAGAUUUCCAAAAGUUUCAAGAAAGGAGACGGAGUAGCAGUUUGGAUAGUAUAAGCAAGAGUUCUGACUUUGCACCAUUAAGUCAAAGUGCACAAGAAACAUCAGAUGUCACUUGUAGUAUUAGAGUAUCUUCGUUGCCCCCAAAUAUUUCAGAUGAAUUAAUAAAAGACUUUUUUGAAAACACUAAACGGAGUGGAGGAGGAAAUGUGGAAUGUGUUGCCUAUGAUGAAACAAAGAAAACCGCCAUAAUCACAUUUCAAGAUCCUUCUGUUGAGAGUACAGGAAAAGUAGAUGUCGCAGCAGUGAAGGUGACCAACUUACCACCAAAAAUCAGAAAGCUGCAGAUUGAGUUGUUUUUUGAGAGUCCUAAGAAAAGUGGAAGUAGUAAUGAGGAUUUGGAAAAAGAUUACGACGAAGCGACUCACUGUGCCAUUGUAUGGUUAAAAAAAUCUGAAGGCAAAAAUGAACUGUUAGAGUACCCAGGUAACAUAAAUCUAAUCAUUGAGAGAGCCUAUCGCAAUCAGGACAAAGAAGUUAGAUUCAUUGAUGAUGGAGGAACCGAGUACACCAUCAACUUCUACAACAUGGAGGAAUACCCUACUGUUGAUAAGUCUGAUGUUGCUACUGUGACCAGGAGAGACAAAAUCAUAGACACUACAUUUGAGCAUCCGUUAGAAUGGACGACUAUGAAGGACUCUGACAACCUUGUUGUGGUGCCUGUUAAAUCAAGUGAUCCUGAAUAUUCCAAUAUAAUUUACAGAUUCCAUGAACAAAAUAAACUUCAGGCAAAGCUCAUAUCCGACAAUGCCCAGUGGUAUUAUGUGGAUAAUUCUGAGGGCAAAAAUGAUUUGAUUGGGUACCCAGGCAACAUAAACCUGAUUAUUGAGAAAGCUUAUUGCAACCAGGACAAAGAAGUUCGAUUCAAGGAUGAUGGAGGAAUAGAGUUCAUCAUCAACUUCAACAAUAUGACGGAAUACCCUACUGUUGAUGAGACUGACUUUACUACUGUGACCAGAAAAGUCAAAAUCAAUGAAUCUACUUUUGAGCAUCCAGCGGAAUUGCCAGUGAAAUCAAAUGACCCAGAAUAUUCCAGUGUACUUGAUGGAGUACAUGGACAAGUAGGCAAAAGGGAAAUUGUUCAGUUGGAGAGAAUACAGAACAAGAUGUUGUACCAGCAAUAUGUGGGCAAAAAGAAGUUGCUAGAAUCCCAAAAUCCUAAAGGAACACAGAAUGAGAGAGAACUCUGGCAUGGAACUGCACCUGAUGCUGUGAGCAGCAUUAACUCUUUUGGAUUUAACAGGAGCUACUGCGUUGAACUUGCCACGGAAAAUGGAGAAGGGGUAGAUUUUGCUGUGGAUGCUGGAUGGUUUGUUAGCGACACCUACCCCAAACCAGAUAGCCAAGGACACAAGAGAAUGUACCUCUGUAAAGUCCUCACCGGAGAAUACACGGUUGGACAAAGUGGAAUGAGGUUACCACCUGCAAAACCAGGACAACAGUCUCACAUUCUGUACGAUUCUGUUGUAAACGAUAUCAGUAACCCACUGUAUUUCACCAUAUUUAAUGACACACAGUGCUAUCCAGCCUAUCUUAUCACAUUCAAAUAG